ACACCGAUAUCGUCCAGUUUAUUGAGGAUAAACGGUGCGGUCGGCGUUACGAGAAAGGCCCAACGCGCUUGCGACGUCUCGUAGAAAUCGCUACUUCGCUUUCUAACUGAUCGUUUAUCACGAUACUAUCAGACAUUUCAUGCGCUGCGAGCGGAUCCAUGGAAAGCGAAGCUUUUCUUCCACCGCCAUAAAAUCAAUUAAUAAUUCAGGCUAAAUUUUCGCCUAACAGAAGAGGGUUAUCUAUACCUAUUUCAAACGUGAUCUUUUGACUGAUAACAGUUUUUUCAGGAAAUAUACACUCUAUUAUCAUUUGCUGCGGUCGAUUUCAUUCAGCGAGUCGCUAAAAUUAAACUGCUACCUUGAAUGAGGAAAAUAAGAGGAAAAUACGCGCCAUUCGUGUCUCGUUUCUAGAUCGAGAGAGACCUCAGCUUCUCAUAAAUCGUACGCGUUCUAAACAAUUUACACGGUAUGCGAGGAUUUUCAUGGUCAGAAGGCUGAAAUUAACGGUGAGUAUACAUUUUCAGCUUCGCCGAAUGCAUAAUAAACGUGUGCAAUGCAGGAAGCCACCAAAGUGAAUGAAUACAAUUCGCCGAAAUCGCGAUGUGUUCUCGCGACGAUCAUCGUUUAUUCCGAUCAUCUAUCACUUCUCGGAUAUAUCAUUUGCGCUACGUGAUUACAAUCUCAAUUGGCGUCGAUAACAGUACAGUUGCACGGCCAGAUCUUUAUUAUUUCAGAGGGAAAGUGAAAAUACCAAUCUUCAACUAAGCUUUUGAAUUCUAAGCAUUGAAACGCCACGAAUUACGUCAUGCAGUUUUGGUAUUCUUAAAAUACACAUUUGAAUGUUACCAUCAGUCUGUCCGUCUGUAUACGAUCAGCACGUUUUCGAUACACUCGUAAAGUUAUUGUUAAUCGCUAAGUUCAUUUGGUUUACGCAAUUGAUGAAGAUAAAGAGCAUAGCGUCAGAUAAACUGAAAAGUUUGUUUCGUUAUCUCAUCGACAUUACGGACAAGGACGAAAGAAAAUUCAAUUCAGUUUUAUGUGCCUGUUUCUAAAGCUUGACUUAUCGUUACUAAAUAAAAAAAACAAAAAAAAAA